rnacentral:rRNA from 1 species
CAGUCGCCGCGGGAACACAGAGGGUGCGAGCGUUAAUCGGAUUUACUGGGCGUAAAGCGUGCGUAGGCGGCUUUUUAAGUCGGAUGUGAAAUCCCUGAGCUUAACUUAGGAAUUGCAUUCGAUACUGGGAAGCUAGAGUAUGGGAGAGGAUGGUAGAAUUCCAGGUGUAGCGGUGAAAUGCGUAGAGAUCUGGAGGAAUACCGAUGGCGAAGGCAGCCAUCUGGCCUAAUACUGACGCUGAGGUACGAAAGCAUGGGGAGCAAACAGGAUUAGAUACCCCUGUAGUCCCUGUCUCUUAUAU